UUGUCGUCAGCUCGUGUCGUGAGAUGUUGGGUUAAGUCCCGCAACGAGCGCAACCCUCGACCUUAGUUGCCAGCAUUCAGUUGGGCACUCUAAGGUGACUGCCGGCUAAAAGUCGGAGGAAGGUGGGGAUGACGUCAAAUCAUCAUGCCCCUUAUGACCUGGGCUACACACGUGCUACAGUGGGCGGUACAAAGGGUCGCGAACCCGCGAGGGGGAGCCAAUCCCAAAAAGCCGCUCUCAGUUCGGAUUGCAGGCUGCAACUCGCCUGCAUGAAGCCGGAAUCGCUAGUAAUCGCGGAUCAGCAUGCCGCGGUGAAUACGUUCCCGGGCCUU
rnacentral:rRNA from 1 species